rnacentral:lncRNA from 1 species
CUGGCAGGGUUCAUCUACGCCUGUUAUGUUGUGAAAUGUAUAACUGAAGAAGAGGACAGCUUUGAUUUCAUAGGUGGCUUUGACUCUUAUGGCUAUCAGGGGCCUCAGAAGACAUCUCAUUUACAACUACAGCCUAUGUACAUGUCGAAGUAAUACAAAUGGCUUCAGUACAUCAGCUCCUGGACCCCUCAAAGAACUUGUUUCCCAGUGGCCUCCUGCAUUUUUUGAAGAGCAAGAAGCAACUGAGUUUAUAUAUAUAUAUACACACAUAUUAACAAAGAAACAGUCUUCACAUACACUGGGACACACACACAAUUAUACUUGGCCUCCUCUUUCUAACUGAAACAGAUAAACAUGCAGGACAUGCCCUGUGGUGGAUUUCCUGAAAGCAGGCUGCUUUCUCCCAGGCCUUUGGAAAGUUCCUGAGGAAACGUGUUGGUGCUCUCUGCUGGCCGACACUAACUCCUCUGCAGCUCAACCAGUCAGCCUCCCAUAGCUGCAAAGUCAUCCAGGGCACAUUAGCUUGAAAGCCCCGUUUUCUAGCGCACCAUGUGUCUUGAUAGCGCCACAGCUAUGAAGGCAAUGUAAUUGCAAAGACAAAACAUGCCAUGACGACCUAGUAACUGAAGUCUGAAAUGGCAGGUUGUUUGCCCUAAAGGCUAGACCGUACAUACUUGCCUUAACCCACCUAAGUUGUGCGCUUGAGAACCUCAGCGCAUACAUCCCCGAGUAACUUCCUUUAGGCUAACACACUGCUAUUAAUUCCGAAUGGGUUUGAGUCUAUGUGUCUCAUGUCAAGAAACAAGACUGUCUAGCUCAGCAGCUCCACUGUCUAAGAAAACUGCCAGCUGUCAGCAAAGUGCUUCUACCAUUGAGCCUCCAUGGUGGCCAAAAAGAGACCAGUAAUAACAAGUUGUAAUCAUCAUCUUUAUAAUUCUUCAAAGUCUUCAGAGGAGGUUGGGUGGGACAAAAAAUGUAUUAAUCUACUAAACUCAUUAAUCUACCGGAAGCAGAGAUCAGAAAUGGCUUAAUUCUAACCAGUUUUAUUUAUUGCACUCUAGGUGCUUUUUUAAGUAUCUACAAAUGUCUUUUACUAACAGAAACAGCUGUGGAUUUCUAUCAACAGAGGCCAACUGAAUAUGUAUUAGCUAUGUUUACUCUUUUAUAUCUAAUUCAAAUGGAAGACCCUAUGUAGAUGAACUUUUUUUCCUAACUUCAGCGUACGAGAUUAUUUUCUGGGUGGGCGGGGGGAGCAGUAGUUAACCUUGGUGAAACAUUUGAGAUCUUUGUGGUAUUUGGGGGAUCUGUUGUGUGUUAGAGUGUAUUUUAAUCCUCCUGUAUUAUUGUGGCAGAAAAAAAAACUGUGCUGUUAACGUAGUUGGCAACAAGAUGCCUUUGGAAACUUAAUAGUAGGUCAAUGUGUUUAUGAAAUAUUCUGAAUUCUAGAAAAUUGUUUUAUAUAUUCAAGCAUUCUUUGGUUUUCAUGAGUGAAACACAUAAUUAGCUCAGGCUUGUCAGGAACUCAGAUGAGUUUUGGGGAUCCACCUGAGAUAAUAAGUUCAGUAUUUUUCCAAAAGUAAUAAUACACCAUCCUUAAAUGCAGUGAAAUUGACUUGAAAAGUUAGAGAUUGGCAUGAAGCAACUUUUUCCUCUUGGUUUCUAUGAGGUUUGUUACUGGGCUAACCUACUUUGGAUAUUAGCUCAUCCAAAUCUACAUUAAUCAGUCCCAUUCCUGUGUCUGCAUGGAUGUCUGAUCUACACACACAUGAAUUUGAAAAUGACAAAGGGACAAAGGUUACUAUUAGAACAUAAACUACAAAAAAGGUUCCAGCACGUGUGCUUGAAUUCUCAGUGGUCUAUGUUUGUCCAUAUAUACAUGUAUAGAACAUGUCAGUGAAACCUCACUUUAGUGACAUGCAUGUUAAGUGUAUGAGAAACUUUACCAAUGUUAUCGUCCUUUGAUUCUUAAUAUAAAUACUAUACAUGCCGGAAAACUAAUGUGACUAUUAAUGUGACUACAAAAAUGAGGUUUCACUGUACAUUCCUGCUGGGAUGCAAUUCCACCUUAUGAGACAUGUAUAUGGAUUAAUAAACCUUCAUAUCCCUGCUUUAAGUUGCAGCCAAGUUACCAUCUAUUUACUAUCAUCAUGACCCAAAUUUUCAAAAACAGUUGUUGACUACUAAAAAGGAUUCAGUGGACAGGGAGCACAGUCAUGUGAUUCUAUCUGGGAAUAAACAUCGAAGUUGUACAGCUGUAUCCUCCUCAAAAUCCGGUGAAGAAUGCUAUUUUUCUAGGCUGAGCUUUUGUUAUAAACCUAAUAUUCAGAAGGCAAGAGUUACAAUCCUGAUGUGUCUUUUUUUUUCCGUUUGUUAAUUCUGAAUGUAUUUUUAACAGAGUGAUUUUUUUGACUUACUAGUGUAAUUUGCAUUUUAAAAAUAAAUGGAAAAACAA